CAAUAGCGUAUAUUAAAGUUGUUGCGGUUAAAAAGCUCGUAGUUGGAUUUCUGCCGAGGACGACCGGUCCGCCCUCCGGGUGAGCAUCUGGUUCGGCCUUGGCAUCUUCUUGGUGAACGUUGCUGCACUUGAUUGUGUGGUGCGGUACCCAGGACUUUUACUUUGAGGAAAUUAGAGUGUUUCAAGCAGGCAUAUGCCUUGAAUACAUUAGCAUGGAAUAAUAAGAUAGGACCUUGGUUCUAUUUUGUUGGUUUCUAGAGCUGAGGUAAUGAUUAAUAGGGAUAGUUGGGGGCAUUCGUAUUAACCGGUCAGAGGUGGAAUUCUUGGAUUCGGUUACGACGAACUACUGCGAAAGCAUUUGCCAAGGAUGUUUUCAUUGAUCAAGAACGAAAGUGUGGGGAUCGAAGAUGAUCAGAUACCG
rnacentral:rRNA from 1 species